CGAAAGCCUGACGGAGCAAGACCGCGUGAGGGAGGAAGGCUCUAGGGUUGUAAACCUCUUUUAUCAGGGAAGAAGCUCUGACGGUACCUGAGGAAUCAGCAUCGGCUAACCCCGUGCCAGCAGCCGCGGUAAGACGGAGGAUGCAAGCGUUAUCCGGAAUUAUUGGGCGUAAAGCGUCCGCAGGUGGUUUUACAAGUCUGCUGUUAAAGCGCAGGGCUCAACCUUGUAUAGGCAGUGGAAACUGUAAGACUAGAGUUCGGUAGGGGUAGAGGGAAUUCCCGGUGUAGCGGUGAAAUGCGUAGAUAUCGGGAAGAACACCAGUGGCGAAAGCGCUCUACUGGGCCUGAACUGACACUGAGGGACGAAAGCUAGGGGAGCG
rnacentral:rRNA from 1 species